GACGAACGCUGGCGGCGUGCUUAACACAUGCAAGUCGAACGAAGAGCGAUGGAAGCUUGCUUCUAUCAAUCUUAGUGGCGAACGGGUGAGUAACGCGUAAUCAACCUGCCCUUCAGAGGGGGACAACAGUUGGAAACGACUGCUAAUACCGCAUACGAUCUAAUCUCGGCAUCGAGGAUAGAUGAAAGGUGGCCUCUACAUGUAAGCUAUCACUGAAGGAGGGGAUUGCGUCUGAUUAGCUAGUUGGAGGGGUAACGGCCCACCAAGGCGAUGAUCAGUAGCCGGGCCGAGAGGAUGAACGGCCACAUUGGGACUGAGACACGGCCCAGACUCCUACGGGAGGCAGCAGUGGGGAAUCUUCCGCAAUGGACGAAAGUCUGACGGAGCAACGCCGCGUGAGCGAUGACGGCCUUCGGGUUGUAAAGCUCUGUUAAUCGGGACGAAAGGCCUUCUUGCGAAUAGUGAGAAGGGUUGACGGUACCGGAAUAGAAAGCCACGGCUAACUACGUG
rnacentral:rRNA from 1 species